rnacentral:rRNA from 1 species
GCUUAACACAUGCAAGUCGAGCGGUAACAUGACUAGUAGCAAUACUAGUUGAUGACGAGCGGCGGACGGGUGAGUAACACGUAGGAACUUGCCCGGUAGUGGGGGACAACCAAGGGCAACUUUGGCUAAUACCGCAUAUUCUCGAGGGAGGAAAGCUGCCGCAAGGUGGCGCUAUUGGAGAGGCCUGCGUCCGAUUAGCUAGUUGGUAGGGUAAAAGCCUACCAAGGCGAGGAUCGGUAACUGGUCUGAGAGGACGACCAGUCACACUGAGACUGAGACACGGCCCGGACGCCUACGGGGGGCAGCAGUGGGGAAUCUUGGACAAUGGGGGCAACCCUGAUCCAGCGAUGCCGCGUGAGUGAAGAAGGCCUUCGGGUCGUAAAGCUCUUUAGGCUGGGAAGAAGGUUGGUAGUUUAAGAGAUAAUCAAUUUGACUGUACCAGCAGAAUAAGCACCGGCAAACUCUGUGCCAGCAGCCGCGGUAA